UCUUCUAAUAACAGUUAUUAUUUGGGGGCAGAGUUGCUGAGAUCUGAUUCUCUCAUUGGUGAGUCAUUGCUUAAACAUUUGUGGCAUCAUCAGGAUGCCAUUUUGUGCUGUUCUUUGAAGUCGGUGCCGGUGUUCAUCUUUGCAAACCAGGCUGGCCUUGACAUGUUGGAAACAACUUUGGUGGCUUUACAAGACAUCACAUGGGUAUUUAGAGGAAGGUAAUUCAUUAAGUCUGCAAAAUUGUAACAAUGAAUCUUUCUCUAAGUGUUGUUUAUGUAUGUUCAACUUUAAUUUGUGGGAAAUGGGAAUUGUUUCUUUCAUUAACUGUUCUGUUUCUUUGUUUAUCAGUGCCAUGUAUUAACUCCAUCUUGUGAAGGCAGAGAAAGCUAGAAGAUACAUUCCAAAAGAAUUCAAAUAGGUUGAAGCUUUUGGGGGGCCAAUAUUCUUGUAGAUAAUAAAAGUUGCAUUAAACUUGCAGAUUUUGGGGCCUCCAAACAAGUUGAGCUGGUAAUCUAAGUCUUCUCUAUUUCUCUACUAUAGUACUAUUAGAUAUACUAUUUUGACUUUGUGAGGAUCUUGUAUCUGCGUAUUUGUUGAAGAAGCGUCUUUGUUUGAUUUAGGAGUUAUUUAUAACAUAGUCUCGAUUUUGUGUUCCUAUUAAUAUCUUAGUUAUUUAUAACUAUCUUUGAUGUGCAUCA